rnacentral:rRNA from 1 species
UACGUAGGGGGCUAGCGUUGUCCGGAUUUAUUGGGCGUAAAGAGCGUGUAGGCGGCCAGGUAGGUCUGCUGUGAAAACUCGAGGCUCAACCUCGAGACGUCGGCGGAAACCAUCUGGCUAGAGUCCGGAAGAGGAGAGUGGAAUUCCUGGUGUAGCGGUGAAAUGCGUAGAUAUCUGGAGGAAUACCGGUGGCGAAGGCGGCAUCCUGGACCGAAACUGACGCUGAGGCGCGAAAGCUAGGGGAGCAAACGGG